rnacentral:rRNA from 1 species
AACGAACGCUGGCGGCAGGCUUAACACAUGCAAGUCGAGCGCAUCCUUCGGGGUGAGCGGCGGACGGGUGAGUAACGCGUGGGAACGUGCCCUCUUCUACGGAAUAGCCUCGAGAAACUGAGAGUAAUGCCGUAUACGCCCGCAAGGGGAAAGAUUUAUCGGAGGAGGAUCGGCCCGCGUUGGAUUAGGUAGUUGGUGGGGUAACGGCCUACCAAGCCGACGAUCCAUAGCUGGUUUGAGAGGAUGAUCAGCCACACUGGGACUGAGACACGGCCCAGACUCCUACGGGAGGCAGCAGUGGGGAAUCUUGGACAAUGGGGGCAACCCUGAUCCAGCCAUGCCGCGUGAUCGAUGAAGGCCUUAGGGUUGUAAAGAUCUUUCAGCUGGGAAGAUAAUGACGGUACCAGCAGAAGAAGCCCCGGCUAACUCCGUG